GGCCCAUAUUUGAAGUAGAGUAGGUUAGAGGGAUCAUGUGACCCUACCAAACUACUCUACUUCGAGUUUGUGCCU
rfam:Haemonchus placei strain MHpl1 genome assembly, scaffold: HPLM_scaffold0001184